ACGAGUGUGACGACACUGAUGCGCCAUUUUGUAGACCGAGUGAAUGACGUCAAUGAAACGGUUACAACAGCAAUAGAACAAGUAGUUGAUAAUAAUUAUGCCGGUGAUGUCGGAUAUUUAUGUCAACUAAGAAUGGCGGGAGAAUCUGAUAUACCAUCUACUCGUAUCUCAUCUUUAUCUCAGGUCAAUCCACUGACGAAAAUUUACAACAAGGUGGCGACCUUAUCUCUUUAUUUCCAAAUACUAAACUGGGACUUCAUCAAGAACUGUGGUCUAGAUUUCACUCAUCUGAUCGGAACACCUCCGGUAUGCUACUGGAAACAGGUCUUACGUCACUUCCGUCAUCGUGUUCCUGGUCAGUUUUGUCGUAAAUCAUUUCCUAUCGAUGGCGUCACUUCUUGUACUACUGCUGUAGAUCUGGUCUAUGUUAUUCUCGAGAGUUCACGUGGUAUCUUAGCAUCGUUAGACAGUCAGGUCAACAUAUAU